rnacentral:piRNA from 1 species
UGAAUGAAUGGAAUGCUUACUAAAUAAAAGA